rnacentral:rRNA from 1 species
CCCAGGACGUGUCCUGGGUGACGGUACCGGAGGAAUAAGCACCGGCUAACUUCGUGCCAGCAGCCGCGGUAAUACGAAGGGUGCAAGCGUUAUCCGGAUUCAUUGGGUUUAAGGGUGCGUAGGUGGGGCGUUAAGUCAGUGGUGAAAGCCCGCAGCUCAACUGUGGAAUUGCCAUUGAUACUGGCGCUCUUGAGUGCGCUUGAAGUAGGCGGAAUGUGCCGUGUAGCGGUGAAAUGCUUAGAUAUGGCACAGAACACCAAUUGCGAAGGCAGCUUACUAAGGCGAUACUGACGCUGAGGCACGAAAGCGUGGGGAUCAAACAGGAUUAGAUACCCUGGUAGUCCACGCCGUAAACGAUGAUCACUCGUGAUUGGCGAUAUACGGUCAGUCACCUAGCGAAAGCGUUAAGUGAUCCACCUGGGGGAGUACGAUCGCAAGAUUGAAACUCAAAGGAAUUGACGGGGGC